GAUGAAGAACGCAGCUAAAUGCGAUAAGUAAUGUGAAUUGCAGAAUUCAGUGAAUCAUCGAAUCUUUGAACGCACAUUGCGCCCUUUGGCAUUCCGAAGGGCACACCUGUCCGAGCGCCGUCGCACAACUGAGGCGCAGCCUUGCGUUGGCGGGCGACUUGUGAGUAGCGAGUCGCCGCCCAAACGAGACGGCGCCGCGCCGCGGCCGACGAAGCACGAAAGCGGAAGUCGACGCGGAGGCGGUUGCCUGUAGGAAGACACAGCUUGGCCUCGGAUCAGGUGGGGAUACCCGCUGAACUUAAGCAUAUCAAUAAGCGGAGGA
rnacentral:misc_RNA from 1 species